rnacentral:rRNA from 1 species
UAGGGAAUAUUAGAAAUGGACGAAAGUCUGAUCUAGCAACACCGCGUGUGCGAAGAAGGCCUUCGGGUCGUAAAGCACUUUUUGGAAGGAAUAGGAAGGAAUGUACUUCCAGAAUAAGUCUCGGCUAACUACGUGCCAGCAGCCGCGGUAACACGUAGGAGGCGAACGUUAUCCGGAUUUAUUGGGCGUAAAGCGCGUGUAGGUGGUUCUGUAAGUAGGGCGUUAAAGCUCCUAGCUCAACUGGGAGAGGCCGUUCUGAACUACAGAACUAGAGGAUGGUAGAGGGAGGUGGAAUUCCAGGUGUAGCGGUGGAGUGCGCAGAUAUCUGGAGGAACACCAGUGGCGAAGGCGGCCUCCUGGACCAUUCCUGACACUCAGACGCGAAAGCUAGGGUAGCAAACG